rnacentral:rRNA from 1 species
AAGACCUUGCGCUUUUGGAGCGGCCGAUGCCUGAUUAGCUUGUUGGUAAGGUAAAGGCUUACCAAGGCUUCGAUCAGUAGCUGGUCUGAGAGGACGGCCAGCCACACUGGGACUGAGACACGGCCCAGACUCCUACGGGAGGCAGCAGUGGGGAAUUUUGGACAAUGGGGGAAACCCUGAUCCAGCCAUGCCGCGUGAGUGAAGAAGGCCUUCGGGUUGUAAAGCUCUUUCAGCCGGAACGAAACGGUACGGAUAAUACCCGUGACUACUGACGGUACCGGAAGAAGAAGCACCGGCUAACUACGUGCCAGCAGCCGCGGUAAUACGUAGGGUGCGAGCGUUAAUCGGAAUUACUGGGCGUAAAGCGUGCGCAGGUGGUUUUGUAAGUCAGAUGUGAAAGCCCCGGGCUCAACCUGGGAACU